AGCUAUUUGAUGAAUCUCAAAUAAGACGAAAUGCGCAUCGUGGAU
rnacentral:hammerhead_ribozyme from 1 species